rnacentral:piRNA from 1 species
UUAGACUGACUUAGACUUAGGAGAGG